CAACAGGUGUAGUAGACCUUACAGUGAAAUGCUGAAUACAACAGGUGUAGUAGACCUCACAGUGAAAUGCUGAAUACAACAGGUGUAGUAGACCUUACAGUGAAAUGCUGAAUACAACAGGUGUAGUAGACCCUGACAGUGAAAUGCUGAAUACAACAGGUGUAGUAGACCUGACAGUGAAAUGCUGAAUACAACAGGUGUAGUAGACCUCACAGUGAAAUGCUGAAUACAACAGGUGUAGUAGACCCUGACAGUGAAAUGCUGAAUACAACAGGUGUAGUAGACCUUACAGUGAAAUGCUGAAUACAACAGGUGUAGUAGACCUCACAGUGAAAUGCUGAAUACAACAGGUGUAGUAGACCACACAGUGAAAUGCUGAAUACAACAGGUGUAGUAGACCUCACAGUGAAAUGCUGAAUACAACAGGUGUAGAUCUCACAGUGAAAUGCUGAAUUCAACAGGUGUAGUAGACCCUGACAGUGAAAUGCUGAAUACAACAGGUGUAGUAGACCCUGACAGUGAAAUGCUGAAUACAACAGGUGAAUUGCUGAUAAGUUAAGAAAAUAUUUUCCAAAUAAACUAAAGUAAAUAAUAAGAAAAAGUAACACAGUAAAAUAACAACAACGAGACAAUAUACAGGGGUUACUGGUACCGAGUCAAUGUGCGGGGUUACAGGUUAGACCGAGGUCAUUUGUACAUGUAGGUAGGGGUAAAGUGACUAUGCAUAGAUAAACAACAACUGCAUUCCAUAGACUGUUAAUGUGUCAUAAAUCAUGUGUUUUGACUGGAUCUGUCUUCACUGUAAUGAACUCUGAGUCCCAGCAGAAUCCAAUAUAGUUUGAGUUCAAAAAAAAAUUGUAAUUAUUUUGCUGCAUUCAUGACAUAGCCGGAACUAGGAAACUCUUGACAUUUUCGACUUGGAAACUCGUAUCUCGGAAUACGACUUUCCCGAAGUGGAUCCUUUGUUCGCACCACAAAACAACGUCGCCGCAGAAGAGGUAGACAGAGUGGUCUCCUGGUCAGACUUCGAAGACGUGCACCUCACCCACCGCUUCCGAGUAUAUUACUCGCCAACUGAUAGCUUCAUUAAAUAGUACCUGCAAAACACCAGUCUCAACGUCAACAGUGGAGAGGCGACUCCGGGAUGCUUGGCCUUCUAGACAGAGUUGCAAAGAUAAAGCCACAUCUCAGACUGGACAAUAAAAAAGAUUAAGAUGGACAAAAGAACACAGACACUGGACAGAGGAACUCUGCCUAGAAGGCCAGCAUCACGGAGUCACCUCUUCACUGUUGACGUUGAGACGGGUGUUUUGCGGGUACUAUUUAAUGAAGCUAACAGUUGAGGACUUGUGAGGCGUCUGUUUCUCAAACUAGACACUCUAAUGUACUUGUCCUCUUGCUCAGUUGUGCACCGGGGCCUCCCACUCCUCUUUCUAUUCUGGUUAGAGACAGUUUGCUCUGUUCUGUGAAGGGAGUAGUACACAGCGUUGGACGAGAUCUUCAGUUUCUUGGCAAUUUCUCGCAUGGAAUGGGGUUACAUCCACAUUGAACUCCAGAUACAGACUGAUCCAGUUUAAUUUCCUCCAUCAGAUCUAUAUCACCCCAUCUAGACUGCACGGGUUCAACCCAGAUAUCUCCUCCCUAUGUUUUAGAUGUGGCUCAGAUGAAGGAACAUUCCUCCAUUCCACUUGGCAGUGUUCAAAACUACACGGUUUCUGGCAGGGGUAUGUGAUACCAUAUCCUCAACUCACGGGGUUGCAUUCCCUUUAGACCCGGAGGUCUGUCUACUGGGCAACUUUACUAACACCAAUCUUAGGCAAAGCCAUACUAUAAAGCUAACAGAAAUAUUGCUAGCGAUGGCCAAGAAAUGUAUUGCCUUGAAAUGGAAAUUGGAUUCCUCCCUGCCAGUUGCAAUGUGGCCUUCGGAAGUUAAUAGUUGUAUCCCUUUGGAGAAAAUCACUUCCUGCUUGAGGAAUAAGUUAAAGACAUUUUACAGAAUUUGGCAACCUUUUAUUGACUAUAUGGAGAAUCUCCCCCCACAUCUCAUUGAUUGAAUCUAUAUAUAAUCCUCACAUAAUGUUUCACACGUAAUGUAUAAUAUGUAGCCUACGGCAGGUGAUCCAAUGUCUCGUUAUUUUUUAAAUUUUUUAAAUGUUUUAUUUUUUAUUAUUGUAUGUUUGUUUAUAUAACUAUAAUUAUAAUUUAUUUUUGUUACGUUUGUCUGUUACUGUCACUUUGUCCUAUCGUUGUCUAAUAUCUUUUCACUUUUGUUUUGAAUGUUCUUAAUUGGAAAAUGCAAAAAUAAAAUAUUAAAAAAAAUAAAAUAAAUGCUGAUGCUCCAGAUACUCAA